GUUAAAGUGGCAGAAUGGAUUAUGCAAAAGGUCUAAGCCCUUUAUACAGAGGUUCGAGCCCUCUCCUUAACA
rnacentral:tRNA from 1 species